rnacentral:rRNA from 1 species
AGGGUUUGAUCAUGGCUCAGGACGAACGCUGGCGGCGUGCUUAACACAUGCAAGUCACGGGGGCCCGCAAGGGUAACCGGCGAACGGGUGCGUAACACGUGAGCAAGCUUCCGAUCUGUGGGGGAUAGCCGGCCCAACGGCCGGGUAAUACCGCAUACGUUCACCGGACGGCAUCGUCUGGUGAGGAAACCUCCGGGGCGGAUCGAGGUGCUCGCGGCCUAUCAGCUAGUUGGCGGGGUAACGGCCCACCAAGGCGACGACGGGUAGCUGGUCUGAGAGGAUGGCCAGCCACAUUGGGACUGCGACACGGCCCAGACUCCUACGGGAGGCAGCAGUGGGGAAUAUUGCGCAAUGGACGAAAGUCUGACGCAGCGACGCCGCGUGUGGGAUGAAGCCUUUCGGGGCGUAAACCACUGUUGCCCGGGACGAACCUCCCCUUUCGAGGGGACUGACGGUACCGGGUGAGGAAGCACCGGCUAACUCUGUGCCAGCAGCCGCGGUAAUACAGAGGGUGCGAGCGUUGUCCGGAAUCACUGGGCGUAAAGGGCGCGUACGUGGCUGGGUAAGCGUGUGGUGAAAGUCCGGGGCUCAACCCCGGAUCUGCCGUGCGAACUGCCGAGCUUGAGCGAUGUAGAGGCAGGUGGAAUUUCGGGUGUAGCGGUGGAAUGCGUAGAGAUCCGAAAGAACACCAGUGGGCGAAGCGGCCUGCUGGGCAUCCGCUGACACUGAGGCGCGACAGCGUGGGGAGCAAACAGGAUUAGAUACCCUGGUAGUCCACGCCGUAAACGAUGGGCACUAGCUGUGAGAACCUUCCACGGUUUUCGCGACGCAGCAAACGCAUUAAGUGCCCCGCCUGGGGAGUACGAUCGCAAGAUUAAAACUCAAAGGAAUUGACGGGGCCCCGCACAAGCAGCGGAGCAUGCGGCUUAAUUCGACGCAACGCGAAGAACCUUACCAAGGCUUGACAUAUAGCGAAAAGUGGCAGAGAUGUCAUGUCCGCAAGGGCGCUAUACAGGUGGUGCAUGGUUGUCGUCAGCUCGUGUCGUGAGAUGUUGGGUUAAGUCCCGCAACGAGCGCAACCCUCGUUCUGUGUUACCAGCAUUUAGUUGGGGACUCACAGGAGACUGCCGGGGUCAACUCGGAGGAAGGUGGGGAUGACGUCAAAUCAUCAUGCCCCUUAUGUCUUGGGCUGCACGCAUGCUACAAUGGCCGGUACAAAGUGCUGCGAAAUCGUAAGAUUUAGCGAAUCACAUAAAGCCGGUCUCAGUUCGGAUUGAGGUCUGCAACUCGACCUCAUGAAGUCGGAGUUGCUAGUAAUCGUAGAUCAGCAACGCUACGGUGAAUACGUUCCCGGGGCUUGUACACACCGCCCGUCACGUCACGAAAGUCGGUAACACCCAAAGUUAGUGGCCCAACCGCAAGGGGGGAGCUACCUAAGGUGGGAUCGGUGAUUGGGACGAAGUCGUAACAAGGUA